CCCUUAGAUGUUCUGGGCCGCACGCGCGCUACACUGAUGCAUUCAACGAGUCUAAAACCUGCUCUGAUAGGGGUGGGUAAUCUUUUGAAUGUGCAUCGUGAUUGGGAUAGAUGAUUGCAAUUUUUCAUCUUCAACGAGGAAUGCCUAGUAAACGCAAGUCAUCAGCUUGCAUUGAUUACGUCCCGGCCCUUUGUACACACCGCCCGUCGCUCCUACCGAUUGAAUGAUCCGAUGAAUAUCAUGGAUUGAGGAUGCAAGCAGGUUCGCCUGUCUUCAUCUUCGAGAAGUGAAGUAAAUCUUAUCAUUUAGAGGAAGGAGAAGUCGUAACA
rnacentral:rRNA from 1 species